UGGGGAAUCUUGCGCAAUGGGCGAAAGCCUGACGCAGCGACGCCGCGUGCGGGAUGACGGCCUUCGGGUUGUAAACCGCUUUCAGCAGGGACGAGGCCGCAAGGUGACGGUACCUGCAGAAGAAGCCCCGGCUAACUACGUGCCAGCAGCCGCGGUAAUACGUAGGGGGCGAGCGUUAUCCGGAUUCAUUGGGCGUAAAGCGCGCGUAGGCGGCCAGUUAGGUCGGGAGUCAAAUUUCGGGGCUCAACCCCGUCUCGCUCCCGAUACCGGCUGGCUUGAGUGUGGUAGGGGAAGGCGGAAUUCCCGGUGUAGCGGUGGAAUGCGCAGAUAUCGGGAAGAACACCGGUGGCGAAGGCGGCCUUCUGGGCCAUCACUGACGCUGAGGCGCGAAAGCUAGGGGAGCAAACA
rnacentral:rRNA from 1 species